UUGUCCUACGGGGGGCAGCAGUGAGGAAUAUUGGUCAAUGGGCGGGAGCCUGAACCAGCCAAGUCGCGUGAAGGAAGAAGGUACUUAGUAUUGCAAACUUCUUUUGUCGGGGAACAAAGGCGGAGACGCGUCUCCGGAUGAGUGUACCCGAAGAAAAAGCAUCGGCUAACUCCGUGCCAGCAGCCGCGGUAAUACGGAGGAUGCGAGUGUUAUCCGGAUUUAUUGGGUUUAAAGGGUGCGCAGGCGGACCAUCAAGUCAGCGGUAAAGUCGUGGGGCCCAACCCCAUCCCGCCGUUGAAACUGGC
rnacentral:rRNA from 1 species